UACGGGGGGAGCAAGCGUUGUUCGGAUUUACUGGGCGUAAAGGGCGCGUAGGCGGCGCGGUAAGUCGGGUGUGAAAUCUCGGGGCUUAACUCCGAAACUGCAUUCGAUACUGCCGUGCUUGAGGACUGGAGAGGAGACUGGAAUUUACGGUGUAGCGGUGAAAUGCGUAGAUAUCGUAAGGAAGACCAGUGGCGAAGGCGGGUCUCUGGACAGUUCCUGACGCUGAGGCACGAAGGCCAGGGGAGCAAACGGG
rnacentral:rRNA from 1 species